GGCUGCGCGCGCCCGGCCGACUUCGCGGGGCGGGCGAAAGGAGCGAGCGGCGAGCGGGCCGCGGAGGCGCUCGUUUGCGACAGGGUGACGCGUCUUGAGCCUCGCGGGCCGCCGUCCCGGAAGUGGGCGAGAAGAGUAUUCCAGUCCCUUGAGAUUCCGGGUGUAGGUUCUUAAGACCUUCUGAGGAGUGUUUUAAUCUCUUGAAGGGACCGGGAGACUUGAGUCACCUCACCCGGAAGAGCGAGCAUCUCCAGUGAGCUCUUGCGGCUCAGGGAGAACCCGGACGUUGCCUGGUACAGCCCAUCUAGAAGGCGGGGUCUACUUUGGCUGGAUGGCGACCUUAGUUUCUACAUCGCUCUGAUACUUGGGAGGCUUAACCAUGGCCCUGCGGGCAGUGUGGCUCAUACGUCACGAACCAGGAACUCCACUUGGAGGCACCGUCAGAUUCUCCAGACGAUACCCAACUGUUGAAAAGCGAGCCAAAGCCUUCAAUGGAAUGACUUAUGUUCCUGUACCUGAAGAUGGCCCCUUUCUUAGAGCAUUGCUCUUUCAACUUAGACUAUUGGAUGAUGAUAAGGACUUCAUGGAGAGACGUGAUGGCUGCUCACGCAUCAAUAAAACAUCCAUCUAUGGGCUUUCAGUAGGAGGUGAAGAGCUCUGGCCAGUCAUUGCCUUCCUGAGGGAUAGCAUGAUAUAUGCAAGUGUUCCAUUAGUUGAACAAGCUCUGUCCCCUCGCCCACCUUUAAUUAGCAUUAGUGGGGUCUCACAAGGCUUGGAACUGCUGUUGGGGAUACAGGAUUUUCUUUACUCGAGUCAGAAAAAUGACACUGACCUACACACAAAACUGAGUCAGUUGCCUGACUUGCUUCUACAGGCUUGUCCUUUGGGUACUUUAUUGGAUGCUAACUUGCAGAAUUCACUGAAUAGCAUUAAUUCCGUAUCUGUGACUCAGCCGCAAAAACAGCCAGCCUGGAAAGUUGGAGCAUACAAAGGAAAAGCACAGAUUUCUAUUUCUAUCACCGAAACGGUAAAAUGCAUGCAAUAUGGUAAGCAGGAUAUAGCAGACACAUGGCAAGUUGCCGGAACAGUCGCUUGCAAGUGUGACUUGGAAGGGGUCAUGCCAGCUGUUACCAUCAGCUUGAGUCUCCCCACCAACGGGUCUCCACUUCAGGAUAUUAUUGUUCAUCCCUGUGUGACUUCUCUGGAUUCUGCCAUUCUGACUUCUAGUAGCAUUGACACAAUGGAGGAUUCUGCAUUUAGUGGGCCGUAUAAAUUUCCAUUCACUCCGCCUUUAGAGUCCUUCAACUUAUGCCACUACACUUCUCAGGUUCCUGUCCCACCAAUACUGGGUUCUUACCACAUGAAAGAAGAAGGAGUACAGCUAAAAGUAACAGUUAACUUCAAACUCCAUGAAAGUGUGAGAAAUAAUUUUGAAGUCUGUGAAGCUCACAUACCUUUUUACAACAGAGGUCCAAUUACCCAUUUGGAAUACAAAGCUAGUUUUGGUCAACUUGAGGUAUUUCGAGAAAAAAGCUUACUGGUCUGGAUUAUCGCUUAACUUUAGGAUUGCAGAUUAUACACUCACUGGAUGUUAUGCAGACCAGCAUUCAGUUCAAGUUUUUGCAUCAGGAAAGCCAAAAAUAAGUGCAUAUCGGAAACUAAUUUCUUCUGAUUAUUACAUCUGGAAUUCUAAAGCACCUGCUCCAGUAACAUACGCAUCAUUGUUACCAUGAUGUUUUUCAUAUUCAAAAGGAUUUAUAUGAUGGUAACAUUCUAUCAUAGAAUCAUAGUAUUUAUUUUUUUACAUGUCUUCCCAUAGCCCAUGACUGAAAAAUUACUGAGUGGUUUCUUUAUGAAAACAUUCAUAUCUUACAUUUAUAGUCUGAUUCAGUGUAAAAGAAUAUUUUCAAGGCUAAUGUCCCUUUUUGUCAUUGUUACGAUGCUCUGAUUUCAUGCCAGUAUGACUCAGGAUAUAUAAAAGCUGUGAGUGGCUUCGCUUUAGACUAGUCUUUAGUCUCUGUACCACACGUCCCUUCCUGUCCCAUGGAGAGAGAAACAGUGCUGCAAUCAGAGUCCCUUCCUUGAGUAAGAGCUCAGCCUUCUCCUAGUGCAGGUUCAGUCAGCCAUCCUAUGGGCUGUAAUUGAUUUACAAGGAAACUGUGUGCUUAUCCAAGCCUCAGUACAAAGAGCGUGCUGUUGCAGAAUACCCAUGGUCUGGUUAAAGUAAUCACAAAUUGUUUCUUUCAAAAGAGCCAGUGGGAAAUAAUGGGAUAAUGUUCAAAUAGUAGCCUGGUUUUUAUCAUAUCUCUCCUGCUAGCCAAUAAACCUCCAUAUUCCUAUUUGAUGUUCUAGAACUCCUGUCUUUCUGAGACAGGGUCUCAUAAAGCCCAGGCUGGCCUGGGUCUCACUGUGUAGCUAAGGAUGAUCCCUCUUAAGUGCUGGGAUUACAGUGGUAUACCACCAUGUCCAGUACCCUUCUAGGACUCGAACUCAGGGUUUCAUGCCUGCCAGACAAGCACCCUCCCAGCUGAGCUGUGACCCUAACCCAUCAAAGGCUGCUGUAACAAAUUCAGUUAUAUGCCAGAACAACUGUGUUUAGGAUGCCAGUAGACUUAAGACUGUAGUAACUUCAGAAGAUGAGCAUAAUGAUCUAUGAUUCUUUAGUGUCCUUAGACAAGGCUUUAAAAUAAUUGUAGGUAUUAUAGUGUUUGUUUAGUUUUUAAAAAUAAAAUAAACUCUGUUAAUGAAUGAACUCAGGUAAACAACCAAAAGCCUUUCUGUGGGUAUCAUUUAGACUUAUUUAAUAUAGCAAUUUUUUUCUCUUUAAGUCUGUCCCUGUCGUUUUCUUUUUACCAUUUUCUUGAUUCCUUUAAAACUGUCUAGCCAAGUUCCUUAUCUUCUCUCAUUUCUACAAUUACAUGACAUAUUCUUUUUUUAGAGCAGCAUACUGUCAUCAAAUUGAACUUAAAGUGACUAUUUAAAAAAAAAAAAAGAUCUAAAGAUCCUGGGAACUUAACUGAUGCCAAAUUUAGAAGCCAGACAAUAAAUAUGAAUUGUAGAAUAAUAUUUUUUAAUUAAACUUAUUCUGGGUUCUGCUUCUUUUUGUCUUUUUUUUCCCCUUGAGUCUUCUAAAAAAAAAAAGCUUGGAAGAAGCUGCUGAUUCUUAGAAGUAGAGUUGCCAUCAUUGAAGGGAAGUAUAUAUAAACUUAGGACUUGAAAUACAGUUUGUAGAGUCAGUCCUACUCAUUCUAGACCCUUAUUGCCUUCAAAACAUUAUCCUAGAAUUAAGUUCUAUUUUCAUGGUCCUCCUGAGGAAAUGGAGGAGAUGGGCUGCCUGCCGGGGACCUGAGCUAGCUAUCCUGACCUACCCAGAGGGAGGGAGGGACGGAAACAUCUUUCCUGAGAAAACACUGUUCUGUAGAGGCUUUUUAUCACUCUUCAACUCAAAACUUAACAUUUCACUUUAAUUUAUUAAUGGACCUGUUUGGAAAUUUUGAUUGUACAAAUGCUUAACCAAUUGUACUGUGGUAGAUAAGACACAUUUAUCUAGUGAGCAGGGAAAGAUUCCAUGUGUAAUCCUUGAAGCAAACUCUUCAUAGACAAAUUAGAAAAACCAGUGACCUCUAAUUUGACAUUUCUAGAAACCUGGGGAAAAUCUAGGGGUUACUAGAAAAGCGUUGGGGUGACAGGGAACCAGUGCCAUCUGUUGCCAUUCCGUUGUAACACAGCACUGGGGAACUCAAAGCCAGCUCACAUUUCCAUCCCAUGGAGAUCAGCUGGACACACCGAUGCUUCUGAUUUUGUCUAGAAACCUGUCACUUCAGGAUAAUUUCUGAAGACAAAGCGUGUUCCCGGUUUGGUAGGUGACCUGUUUAAUGUUUUCCCUGUGUCUGGGAACUCCUUAGUGUAAUUAGCGACCUUUGAACUCCGCAGCUAAUCCUGAGCUGUUUUGUAUUCCUUACUCAUCUUUACGGCUGGACCUUUCUUUUCUUCAGAGUCCACUGCCACAAUUAAAGAAGAAACAGCUGCAUUUCAAAGGGAUUCCGAUUCCAGAAGCUUAAUCGUGAUUGACAUGUUCUUAUUCUAAGCUAUAAGACACUCUAAGAGUCCUUUCUUUGGUUAAAACUUCAAUCAUUUUCUAAAAAAUUAUCUCACUAUGGAUUUUAUUCAUUUUCUUUGAUAGCUAUUCUUUGCAUUUUUUUUAACUUGAAAGGUGCUUUGCAUGUGCAGUGAAUAUGAGUGUCGACUUCCAGUGAGAGAUUUGGACAUUGUCAGACUUGCUCUAGAUUCGAUCGUGCUAAAUUCACAUUUAGUGACAAAAUAUGAUUAUGAAAUCUGAUAUCAGUGUUGUAAUCAUUCUUGCUCAACCCAAAGGGUUAAAAAAAUGUUCAUCCUAGAAUGAACUCUAGAAAAGCUAGGUCAUGAUUUGAGUCAAGCCUGUUCUCCACGUUUUUAGUAAGCAGUGUUUUAAAGCACACACUAGCAGCUAGAGAGUGGGAUGUUUUAUAUGAUUAAAUAAUGGAACCUGUCAACUUGGAAGCAAAUAGGUUCCUUGGACGAUGUCCUUGGAGCAUUUAAUUUUAUUUAAACCUUAGCCCAUCUCAGAAUCACUUCCUUUCAUGCCAUCUCAGUAUUUCUCCUGUUAAAAUAUUGUGGUCUUAGAUUUCUUGUGCUAUGUUUAACAGCAGAAAUUUUGCACAUAGUAACUAUUGCCAAUUUUUGUUGUUGUUGUUGUUACUAUAUUUUAAAACCUUAACAGUCAUUCAUAGAUUUUCACAUUACCCCUGAGAAUUAGAUAGGUGGGGCUCCCACCCAAAACCUCUGCAUGGACUGCCCCCCUCGCAGAAGUUGUCUCUAAGACAAAGGUCAAAAAAGGGAUGUUAAUAAACAGUCCUCAGGUUUAAGGGACUUUUUAGGAUUACAUCUUAAAUUCCAACAAAUCAGAUUUAGGAGUUGCUGAAAGUGAAAUUGAUCCAUCCCUCAUCCAAACUUUGCAAUACUUCCCUGUUCUGACACCCCUGAGAUAGUUAGCUGUAUCAUCAGAUUAGAGACCAUUGUGCCAGGCUGCUGAAAGGAAAAGGAGCCAAAAAGCUAAACAUGGGAUGAAUCCUGAACCUUUUAACCUGGCUGAAGUAUGUUGGUUGCUGUUAUGCAAAUACCUUCAAUCCUCUGCUAAGUUCCGUGGAAAUAAUUUUCUUGAAUGACAGGUUGAUUCAGCAAGGAUUCGGUCGCUGAUUAAUCCCCCUUUGAUCUAGGGUAUUUCCCUUAACCACCAGUUAGCUCGUUCUGACAAAGUGCAGCCGAGAUUAGGGAGAUCACUAGAGCACUCCCAGCCUGUGCGCCUAUUCUCUAUAACCUUUUAAAGCAAGGGCCAAGAAUGCAAUUUAGUCUCAGUUUUUGAAGAUGUAAAGUCUUGUCUGCUAAGUUAGAAAGUCAAUUGAAUACCAAAUGAAGUUUAUUUCUUACGUAAAAGAACAAACAUUUCUUCUUUGCUCUGCCUAACAAUGAUAUUAAGAAUCAUGGGCUUUGAAGAGAGAAAAAACAAAGGCCACCUUCCAAAUACAACUUCGUGUUUUGUUUCAUGUGCAUGUUUACUGCCCCCCAGAUAACCCAAGAAUCAAAGGAGUGGCUACAGUUAUGCUGAGAAAACACUUGGGUUUCGUGAGACUGCAGUGCCUCCUCAUCUCCCCAGCCGUCCCCAGCAGAACUGGAAAAUACACUGCAUAGCAUAGCACAGAGUUGCAGUUAGGGAAGCAUGCAGCACACAGUCUUGUUAGAUUUACUUUCCGUGAAGAAGUAGCGCCUCAUAGUCUCAUUAAAGUAAUAACUGCAUUCCUUUUCCCACUUGCUAAUCAUUCUGUUAGUGUUUCUGCCUCUUGCUUUACCUUUUCUCCCAUAUGUUUAAACUCGGAAGUAGUCUGUGCAGUUUAAGAAAGAAAAUUCAGGCAUGUUUCAUACGGUUUGUCAAGGAAUUCACUUUUUAAAAACGAUUAUUAAUAUUAUUUUGCAAGAUGUCAAAGAUUUAUUCAAGUAUACUUCAUGACCUAUAAAAUGUAAAGAUACAUAAUAUAUACACAAUUAUUUGUAACAAAAUUUGUUUUUAAUUAUCAAGUUUUUAUUAAUGAUUCACUUUAUAAAUAAAAAGAAACAAGAUGUUAUAUAAUUGUUCAUUAUUCUAGUAGCAAUCUACAAUAAAACCUAAUGUUUAAAUGA